rnacentral:rRNA from 1 species
UACGAAGGGGGCUAGCGUUGCUCGGAAUUACUGGGCGUAAAGCGCACGUAGGCGGCUUUCUAAGUCGGGGGUGAAAUCCUGGAGCUCAACUCCAGAACUGCCUUCGAUACUGGAGAGCUCGAGUCCGGGAGAGGUGAGUGGAACUGCGAGUGUAGAGGUGAAAUUCGUAGAUAUUCGCAAGAACACCAGUGGCGAAGGCGGCUCACUGGUCCAUUACUGACGCUGAGGUGCGAAAGCGUGGGGAGCAAACAGG